rnacentral:lncRNA from 1 species
GCUUUUCUGCUUCGCCUCACGUAAUACAUGAAUUUAAGAGAUGGAAAAUUCCUUGUCUGCCAAUAGAUGAGUGGCAAGCGUCAAGUAUGAAUGGAUGUGUAACAAGCAGAUCUCUAAAUUUGGCUGUACAAUUGGAGCAUCUUUAACCGGAAACUUCAUUAGUUAGAGAGUUAAAGCUUGCAUGACAAAUAACAUGGGAUUCAGACAUUGGCCUAGAGCUGAGCGUGGGGUGACGUCUUCUUUAUCUUUGCCUCUCUUGGACUCAACUUGUCCUCUCGAGCCUCAGAAGAACCUGCUGUGUCAGUAACUGCUUAAGUUGUUGCUUUGUAAUGACCGCUUUGAUCCUCUUUCACACCGCCAGCUGUUUGAGCAGUAGAAAUCAUUGCAGCAGAGUUUAAAAUGGGCAGAACACGGUAGACUUGCCCCAACUUCAGCUCACAAUCUGGUGGGAGAUGCUCUGUUCCUUCCAUCGAUGGUUCUCACAUCUAAUGGCUGGUCAGAAGAGGGAGAUCGGAGAAAGAGAAGUUUGAGGACGCUAAAACUUUCAAGGCUGACUCCGGCCAACCAACAACCAAAUGGAUUAGACCUCGGGAUCUUCAUUCCCGUCCCGCCAGCUUCGUUUUGACACCAAGCAAAUUGGACGACUAAGGUGCUCAUAAAUGGCGGAUGGUAAAUUAUUUCAAUCUGCAACGAUCAAAGCGAUAGGAGAGACAGUUAGCAGAAAAAAAAAAACAAAGGUGCUAGAAGAGAUAAAAUUAUAGAGUUUCUUUUUAAUGUUGACGCAUCUUUAUAACUGAUUGACUGACUUGUUGUAAUAGAGAUUUUAGAUUUAUUCGUUUGAGAAUUUUUUUAAAAAAAAUUAAUAAACAGCUGAAUAAGAUCUAUUCCGAACAUUCAUAAUCAAUAAAGCCAAAAUUUCUUUCUUUAUCUUUUCUCUCUCUAAUUCUUUUAAUUCUCUCUCUUUUCUUCCCUCAAAUGUCCUUCUCUUUCCACUAAAUUUUCAUAACCACCAGAUCUGUUAGGUUAACACCUAACAAUUGAUAUCAGAGCAAGAACAACCUCCGAUGAAAAGAUUCUUUUGUAGAAUUGAAGGAUGACAAGAUUGCAGAUAGUGAAUGCCGAAGCUGUGAAACUGAUGCAGGUUGAGGAGCAAGUACAAGAU